GGCUGCGGCGUCCAGCCCGGUUUACCCGUGACCGGUGCCCUCCCCGCGGGGCUGCGUGUCACGGUGGCUCGCAGCGAGGUUUUACUAGUCCCGGUGGCACCGGGCUGGAGCUGCGAGGCGUGAGAUAAAGUCUGGCCUUGAAGGUGCUCCUGGACAUCCUUGUGACUUUCCUGUCUCUGGGAGUCCAAAAAUGAGAAGUGAGAGACAAGAAAGCCACUGAAUAUCAAAAUGAUCAGAUGAAGACAUCCAUAGAGUCAAGGUAUCACACCC